rnacentral:rRNA from 1 species
UACGUAGGGUGCAAGCGUUGUCCGGAUUUAUUGGGCGUAAAGAGCGUGUAGGCGGCCAAGCAGGUCCGCUGUGAAAACUCGAGGCUCAACCUCGAGACGUCGGUGGAAACCGUUUGGCUAGAGUCCGGAAGAGGAGAGUGGAAUUCCCGGUGUAGCGGUGAAAUGCGCAGAUAUCAGGAAGAACACCAAUGGCGAAAGCAGCUCUCUGGGACGGUACUGACGCUGAGACGCGAAAGCGUGGGGAGCGAACAGG